AAAAACACAAAAGGUAAACAGACAAAGGAAGACCUUGUCGGCUAAAGGUAUCCUCAAUCGCGUGACAGACAGGCACAGCGAUAGGAUGCAAAAAGGCGAGCUUUUGCACGGAAGCUCCCUCUUCCUCAGUCAGAUCAGGACGAGGAAUAGGCUUACGGCCACUAGUGGAUGCAGGGAGAAGUCUGCUGCCAGGGCAUAACCUGCAAUCCACGAAGAUGAACUCACUCUUGUUCCGCCUGGUCGGAGGAUCUU
rnacentral:lncRNA from 1 species